rnacentral:rRNA from 1 species
AGUCGAGUGGCGGACGGGUGAGUAACGCGUAGGAACCUGUCACCGGGUGGGGGAUACCACGGGGAAACCCGUGCUAAUACCGCAUGCGAUGGGCAACCAUGAAAGCAGCAAUGCGCCGGGUGAGGGGCCUGCGUCCGAUUAGCUAGUUGGUGGGGUAAAGGCCUACCAAGGCGACGAUCGGUAGCUGGUCUGAGAGGAUGGUCAGCCACACUGGGACUGAGACACGGCCCAG